rnacentral:tRNA from 1 species
AUCCCUGUAGCUCAGUUGGUAGAGCAUGGUGCUUGCAACGCCAGGGUUGUGGGUUCGAUUCCCACGGGGGGCC